GCAAGUCGCACGGUCAGCAAUGGCAGUGGCGGACGGGUGAGUAACACGUAGGAAUCUAUCCUUGAAUGGGGGACAACCGUGGGAAACUACGGCUAAUACCGCAUGAUGCCUGAGGGCCAAAGACGAAAGUCGUUUGAGGAGGAGCCUGCGUCUGAUUAGGUAGUUGGUGGGGUAAAGGCCUACCAAGCCCUACGAUCAGUAGCUGGUCUGAGAGGAUGAUCAGCCACAUUGGGACUGAGACACGGCCCAAACUCCUACGGGAGGCAGCAGUGGGGAAUAUUGGACAAUGGGCGCAAGCCUGAUCCAGCAAUGCCGCGUGGGUGAAGAAGGUCUUCGGAUUGUAAAGUCCCUUUGGCGGGACGAUGAUGACGGUACCCGCAGAAUAAGCUCCGGCUAACUUCGUG
rnacentral:rRNA from 1 species